rnacentral:misc_RNA from 1 species
GGGCGUACAGGCGGCUGUGCAGGCCGCUGUACUGGCCGUGCUUUCAUAGCAGCAGGUCGAGCAUUAUUAGCAGAAUUUGGAAUUGGAACUUUUCGAGGUGCGGGCUCUUCUUUCACAGCAGCUGGAGGAUCAGGAUCAUCGGAAAAUAAGAACGAAUAGUCCCGCGCGUCUUUAAGUGUUUUUGCUUUGUUUUUUACCUCCUGAACUUUUUGUCGCCGCUGGUCACGUGCAUUAAGUUGAGGCCGCUGGUGAUGUGCAGAUGUCUUUGUUUCAGUGGAUGAUGAAACAGGACCCUUUUUGCUA